AUUGAACGCUGGCGGCAGGCCUAACACAUGCAAGUCGAACGAGUGGCGGACGGGUGAGUAAUGUCUGGGAAACUGCCUGAUGGAGGGGGAUAACAACUGGAAACGGUAGCUACUACCGCAUACCAUCGGAUGUGCCGAGAUGGGAUUAGCUAGUAUGUGGGGUAAAGGCUCACCUAGGCGACGAUCCCUCGCUGGUCGGAGAGGAGGACCAGCCACACGUGAACUGAGACACGGUCCAGACUCCUACGGGAGGCAGCAGUGGAGAAUAUUGCACAAUGGGCGCAAGCCUAGUGCAGCCCUGCCGCGUGUAUGAAGAAGGCCUUCGGGUUGUAAAGUACUUUCAGCGGGGAGGCGGUACCCGCAGAAGAAGCACCGGCUAACUCCGUGCCAGCAGCCGCGGUAAUUC
rnacentral:rRNA from 1 species